UAACCAAAUUUUUUUCUCUUAUCAAGUUUUUUUCAAUCUGUUGUUUUUAUUAUCUCUUCAUGUAAACCAAUUCGAAAUGAUUAACGGCCCAUUAAUUACAGAUUGAUGAUAUCAAAUGAAUUUAUCAUUUAAACAAUACCACCAUGUCAUUCAGGUAUGUAGUCACACAAAGUGCGCUUUAAAAUGCCACCCCUUUUACUUUUCUAUAGUAAACUGUAGAACGAUGUGUCGAUCCUCUCUAUUUUUCUAGCGCGUGGAAUACUUGAACGACCUACAUAGGUGGAUAGUAGAUGUCUACUUUUUUUUUUCUCUCUCCCUUUUCUCAGAUCGAAGAGAAUGGGCCGAUCCAAUGGUAAAACAGAAACCGAGGAAAAAACAAGAGAAAAGGAAAGAGAGAGAAAGACACGCUUUAUUAUCAUGGAAAUAUUGGAUUCUCAAAGGAACCCUACCACGCUCGCACCAAUUCCUAACAGUUUGCUCACAGUUACGUUGUAAACGUGCGAACACCGACGCCUUCAGCAAAACGAUAUUGAAAAAAUUUGUCUUCGAGAUCGACCGACAAGAGAAUCUUGCUCGCAGCUACAAGAGGAGCCUUUGUGAUGCAAAAAUGGAUGAUCCGUUGUUUCUUUCCAAAGAUUUAUCCCCGAGAUCGUCCGGCAAGAGAAUAAAAAGAACGCCUUCGGAAGCUGGCUCAGCAAAGGGCAAACUAAGAGUAAGGAUGUGACUGAUUACUGUUUUGGAAAAUUUCGAAAAAAAUUCAAUACACAUUUAAAAAUCUACGAUCGUUUCCAUUGUGUAUAAAUAAUGACAGAAAAUUCUGUGAAUAAAAAAGUUUGAGUGCAAUAAA